GAUGAACGCUGGCGGCGUGCUUAACACAUGCAAGCCGAACGAUGAAGCCCACUUGUGGGUGGAUUAGUGGCGAACGGGUGAGUAACACGUGAGUAACCUGCCCUUGACUCUGGGAUAAGCCUGGGCAACUGGGUCUAAUACCGGAUAUGACCUUCCAUCGCAUGGUGGUUGGUGGAAAGCUUUGGUGGUUUUGGAUGGGUUCGCGGCCUGUCAGCUUGUUGGUGGGGUAAUGGCCUACCAAGGCGACGACGGGUAGCCGGCCUGCGAGGGUGACCGCCCACGCGGGGACUGAGACACGGCCUAGACUCCUACGGGAUGCAGCAGUGGGGAAUAUUGCACAAUGGGCGCAAGCCUGAUGCAGCGACGCCGCGUGAGGGAUGACGGCGUUCGGGUUGUAAACCUCUUUCAGUAGGGAAGAAGCGUAAGUGACGGUACCUGCAGAAGAAGCGCCGGCUAACUACGUGCCAGCCGCCGCGGUAA
rnacentral:rRNA from 1 species